GACGAAGGGGGCAAGCGUUGUUCGGAAUUAUUGGGCCUAAAGCGUCCGUAGCUGGCUUGUUAGAUGCCUGGGUAAAUCGAUGCGCUCAACGUAUCGAACUCCGGGUAGACCGGCAAGCUUGGGACCGGGAGAGGCGUGAGCUACUCGAGGGGUAGGGGUAAAAUCCUGUAAUCCUUCGGGGAGGACCAGUGGCGAAGGCGUCACGCUAGAACGGCUCCGACAGUGAGGGACGAAGCCCUGGGGCGCAAACCGG
rnacentral:rRNA from 1 species